UACGUAGGUGGCGAGCGUUGUCCGGAUUUACUGGGCGUAAAGAGCGCGCAGGCGGUCGUGCAAGUCGCGUGUGAAAGCCCCCGGCUCAACUGGGGAGGGUCACGCGAUACUGUUCGACUCGAAGGCAGGAGAGGGAAGUGGAAUUCCCGGUGUAGUGGUGAAAUGCGUAGAUAUCGGGAGGAACACCAGUGGCGAAGGCGGCUUCCUGGCCUGUUCUUGACGCUGAGGCGCGAAAGCUAGGGUAGCAAACGGG
rnacentral:rRNA from 1 species